UUUUUAAGCAGAAUUAUAUUUCAUAUGUUUUUCCAGUCUUUUAUUGAUUUUCUGUUUUUCACAGAAGAAAUGAAAAUAACUUCUGAUGUAGGGUUUCUUAAAUGCAGUUUGAGAGAGCAAGAUAGGAACCAGUACUUUCAAAAUAUGGCAAGUGCAAGUCACAAUCCCUAGUAAGAUAUUCCUUCUCAUUUUGUGCCUUUGACUCUUAUUUAGACAGACGUUUAAGUACGAGAAAGCUAAUGGCGCAGAUUCUGCUGACUGUGUGGCUCUCGUCUUAAUGCGUUUUCCAACCUUGAACCUGAGAAUGCCAGAGGAUUGAGUCUCUGGACGUUCAUCUGAGCAGAUAUCUGCUGGCCGCCUGGUUCCUGAGCUAACAAGUGGGUGUCCCGGGCUUGUGUGUGUAGUCACAACAGUGGAGGUGCCACGUGGCACCCAGAGGUCGACUGGGGCUACCGCGGGGCUUCCCGAUCCUCACAAGUGUGUCUUCAGUGUCUGACAUGAACUGGGAACUUGGGGCAUCUUUAGAAGCACAGACAUUUGGAGUUCCACGGCAAACCUGGAUGUAAGCACUCACACAGCUUUUAAAGUGAAAGCAGGGACCUUGAGGAAGGAAUCGCCGUCAUCUCAUUGCCGACCUGCUUACUGUGCUGGGAAACAAAGUAAGUUCUGUUUGUUUCUUUGUUAGUCUCUCCUGCGUGUUUUUUCUUGCUAAUGUUAUUAGACACUCAAUAUCCGGCAAAUGCCAAGUUUUUUCCCCUUCAUUGGGAAGUAGGAUAUAGUUUAUUCAAUAGCUGAUUGCUUCUUUUAUCUUUUCCCUCUUCCCAUAUCUAGUGUGCCGGCUUGCUGUUUAGAGAUAGGAAGAGAUUGAAAUUUAUUAUCAAGGAGAAAACAAAAAGUGUUUUGUUUUGUUUCUAAAUGGUCCAAGAACUUUGCCAUUAGGUAAAUGACUAUGACACAGACAAGGCGUUUUGCAUGGUAUGACCAGGAGCACCUCUAGCAAAACAGCCCCAGUUCGCCGCCCUGAUUUCCAUUUGGAAGCAGGCACAGUGGGUUUCCCCAGGACCGAUGUUAACGCAGAGGGUCCUUGUGCAGGAAUUGUGCAGAAACUAGGUGGGAAGGUGUCACAGACAAGAGGCUGCAAUUUAAAAACGCAUCAGGAAAUGGAAAAGAGCUGCGAGAAUAUCAAUUAUUUAAUGAUGUUGAUAAAAACAAAUUUAAUAUAAAAAUGAGAUACAAUGUAUAGAGACCUAACCCUGUCAACAGCAACUAAACUUUACUUUCAUGUUAGAAAGUUUUGUGCCAUGUAGAUUUAUGGAAAAUGUGCUUAAUUGCCUCUAGAAAAUAAUGAAGAGGCUUCGUCACCUCCAUAGAAGAUCCUGUGACACUAGCCUAAUUCUGACACAUGGCUCCUGUUUUCCAUUUUGUUUGUUUUUUUAUGCUGAUCCUCUCUCCAGAGAUGUGAUGUGGAUUGAUUAACUUGUAAUAUAAAGUUCUAUGGUUUCUGAAAAUGCAGAGCAAAUAGAGAUGAAGAGUGGUUUGUGAUUUGUUAUUAAAUGAUCUUCCCUUCUACAUUUAGGACUGAUUUUUACUGUAGAAUUUUUUUUUUUUUUUUUUUUUUUUUUUUUUGUCAACUUGAACAGCAAUACCUUGAAGGUAAAAGGUGGGAGCACGACUGGAGUGUGGAACUGGAAAGCAGAAACCAGGGGUGUUACUUCUAUGUCUAGUAUGGAAUGUUGUGAAUUUAAGUUAGAGCUUCUGUGUCCUGGGAAUUCAUAUUUUAUCUCAAAGUGGUGCUGAUAGGACUGGAGGUAGCUGUAUUUCAUUUGAAACAUUCCAGCCUCUUUAUAGGAAUAUCUGUGAAUUUUUAAUUCAGCAAACAUCUUUAAGUGUGUCAUUUAUGUAUAGCGUUGUAGUCAGAGCUGUAAUUGUUUCACCAUUAAAUUUACGGAAAUUCAGUUUGUAAGUGAAAAAUUAAGAACAGUUUGAAAGAAGGGCGAAUGAGCAGAGCAUUGCCAUCUAAACAGUCUUGUUAAAGAUAGUGCCAAGUGAGCAGGACUGUCCCUUCUAAGCUGCCCCUCCUAAUUAAAGGGAAAGGUGGCUGCCAUCUGUCUUCUUUCAUUCAAGGCAGUAGGGGGUCUAGGGUGGAAGGAAGCAACCCCCACUUUAUUUUUCUCCCACUCUUUUUUAUAGUCAGCUUUCUCCCUAGUCAGUGACCCAGAAGGUCAUUGAUGAUCUGUCUAUCUCAGAAUGAAUAGUAGCAUAAGCACGCUUGGCACUUGCAAAAAAAAGAAAGUUUAUAACAUGCACUGAUCCAUUUAAAGUUCUGCUUGAAUUAUGUCUGAGAGUAUUGUAAUCUCUGUAUUGGUGUCUCUGCCCUGUUUGUUACCAAGGGCACUACUGGCAGGAAAAGUGGGGAGUUUUACUUUUAUUGAUUUUGCUUUUUCAUGAAAAAAUGUUUACACUCCACUGGGCAUAAUCAGAAGAUGGCAGCACAUGGCUAUGUACAGGAGAUGUGGGGAUGUACAGGAAUAUUGUUCUUAUCAAAAUCAAGGACACCUAUUAAUGAUGAUACAUAUAUGUCAUCUCAGGGGAAAGCAUGAACAAGCAUGGCAACAGAUGUCCAAGUUACUCAGUGGCCUGCUGCAGCUUUUUGGACCAGUUAUUGAAAUAAUUCACAUUGUUUAGCUUUUGUUAAGCAAUAAGGCUUUUAGCCUUUUUCUUGUAAGAAUACGUUGCAGGAGAGUUUAGUUUGGGGUCAUGUCUUCAUUGCUUUGGAAAUGUAGAAUAGUCCUCCAACAAAAUGACUGCAUUUGCUUGCCUUCGUUUCCACCUCUGUAAAUAGAAGAAAUAUCUGCUGUUUUUAUAAAUAUAUAAGAGAAUAUGAAAUAUUUUCCAUCUUUCAUAAGAACUGUGUUAUAACUGAAAAAUUCUCAAAUCUUCAGUUAUGUUUAUUUUCAAUUUUUACACACUUAAGCAAGGUGUUAACAGUCUUCUAAAGAGAUUCAGUUGUUACAAGCCUUGUUUAGUUCCCAAGUAGCAGGUAUGGACUUCUCAGAACAUACUGGUUUUUAGAACUCUCUUUGUGACACAGAAGUGUGGUAUUUCUUAAACCCAUAACAAUAUAUUUGGAGAGCUCAAAUGUGAAAGUCAUGUCUGUAAUUUUAUUUAGAGCUUUUUUUUUUUUUUUUUUUUCCAAAUUUGUCACCAACUUGCAACGAGCUUUCUUGGAAACAUAGACGUGUUUAUGUUGUUGAGUCUUGAGAUGAACAUGUGUGGGCUUCUGACGACACUGAUGCCCAGUUUGUAUGAUUGGAUGAUACCUGAAAAGUGGGUCACUUCCUAGUCAGUGAAGGGUACACAGGGCUGAAUAGGCAGGGCUUUUUGGCUUUUUCCGUGCUUUUGUUUUUGUUUUUGGUGUGUGUGUGUACUAAUUUUAGAUACUCAGCUAGGUACUUGACUGGCUAUCCUUUUUAGCAUGUGAUUUAAUUUGGUUUUACCCAUCAGUAUUUAUUUCAAGGGGACUAAAUAAACACAUUAAAUGAAGCACUUAAGAACUUUCUAUCUUCUUUUGACUAUCCACAGCGGUGGGAAAUCUCUGUCCUUUGAGGGUAGGAGGGAGCCAAUAGUUAGGUCUCAUGAAUAUGGUAGGUGAUCAAACCACUGAUUCAAGUCAUUGUUUCAUGUUAUAAACAUGGACUGAGCCAGCUACUACAUUUCAGUAGAAGGUACUGUAGAUUCAAAAGUGAACAUGGGUCUGGCAUUUCAGAAAGACACAGGUUAGUGAGAUAAAUGACUAUAAAAAGAGGUAGCACUGUAGACUGAUGUCCUGUAACAGAGGUACACGUGUGCUGUUAGAGCCAAGAGGGGGUCAAAAUAAAAAGACAGGGCACGGUGGCUCAUACCUGUGAUCCCAGCACUUUAGGAGGCUGAGGUGGGAGGAUCACUUGAGGCCAGGAGUUCAAGACCAGCCUGGGCAACAUAGAUCCCCAUCUCUACAAAAAAAUAAAAUAAAAUAAAAAAAUAAGCCACACAUGGUGGCAUGCAUCUAUAGUCCUAGCUACUUGGGAGGCUGAGGCAGGAGGAUCCCUUGAGCCCUGGAGUUGAAGGCUAUAGUGAGCUAUGAUCACACCACUGCACUCUAGCCUGAGCGACAGAACAAGAUCCCAUCUCUGAAAAAAUGGAUGAGUGAAUUAAAUUUCAAAAUAGAGAUUUAAUGGAAAAAUGAGAAUUGUUGUGUACAUGAUUUAUGAAGUGGCUUACAUAAUAUAAUUUUGGACAUGAAAGCCCUGAAAAAUAGCUUCUUAUUUUAAGGAUGAACAGACUGGGAUUUAUUUCUGAAAUUCUAUAAUUCUCAGUCAGUUGUAAGGCUUUCAUUAUAUAAUAGACUUUUUUUUUUAACCAACGGAAGUUGGACCUCUUCAAAAUGUGAGAUCCAAAAAGGUUUUGGAUAUUGUUUGAAUAACUCUCUUCUCCAAAGGAGACUGUUUUUGAAAAAUGAUUCUUUCUGACAUGUUAAAAUUGAAUAUUUUUGACACGCCAAAUGCACCAAAGUAUUAUAUGUCAUGUUUAUUGCCGAGAGUAGCUAUAUAGCUUGUGGGAGACAGUUAACGUGAAGCUUUCUUGCAUCUGGAAGUAUGGGGAGAGAGAAGGCUUCUUCACACCCCCUUUCAUGUUAUAUUCUACAGGGAAAGAAUUUCUAUCAUGUAGACACUAGGUGACUCCCUUGUGGAUAAUUUCAUUUAACAAUGAUUUCUGGGUGUUGCUCUAUGCCAGGCACUGUUCUAGGAGCUGAUGCGAAGGCUCAGCUGAUGGGCUACAGACCUGAAGGCCUGUGCUCCUCAGUGGCACUCUGUAGGUAGAUACAGAGCCACCAUCUACUGGGUGCUUCUCCUGAGUGUGACAGUGUAGGCUGGGACACGAUGCUACCCUUCAAGGAGCUUGAAGCUAAGGUUCUGUGCACAGAUAAAAUUAGAAUAAAUGCAGAGAUGCUAUAACAAGAUGUCUUAGAAAAAAGAAAAACAAAGAAUAAAUGCAGAGAGAAAGAGAAAUGUAUAAAAGGUAGAGAGAUAAACAUACCACAAGUUCAUAGAAAAGAAAGGUUGUGUGUUUAUCUGUGGCUGGGAUGAUCAAGAAAUGCUUCAUGGAUAAAGAGCCUUUGAGCCAGACAUUGAAAGAAAGGUAAUGUUGGACUUGAGGUCUUGGAGUAUCCUCGUUGAAGGAAACAUGAGCAAAGGCAUAGGUAGGGAUGGGAAAUGCCGGGGUGCAGAGUGGGCAGGAAUCGAUUUGUAGUUGCUGGGCAAUGAUGUGUGUAAACCACUAAGGAGAAGAUCAGGUAGCAAAGGUCCUUGGAGGCCAGAACCCAGAGGGCCUUGAAUGGCACGUGACUAAAUGAUUUAAACUUAAGUUACUGGGGAGCAAUGGAAGAAUUUGAGUGGCUAGAGUCCCCAUCCUGAAGAGGCCUUGCGGGGAUCAGCAUGUGGGUGCCUCUGGACUGUGAAAUAGCCAGAGCUGGGAAGCCUUUUAGAGCUGCUGUUGUGGUCCAGGAGGGAGGUGGGGAGGGCCUGGGUGAGGGGAAGGCCACUAGAUGGAGAAAUUGAAUUUAUGAGAUGGGAUUUAGGAACUGCCUAGAUAAUAGGGGUUGGCCGAUGGGAAGCAAAAAUGCCCCCAGAGCUUUGAACCCAGGUGCCAUUCAUUAUUUCUAUGCCAUCUGCCAGGCAUUGCAUAGCUAUUAUCUCAUUUAAUCUCCUCCUAAUCUUGUGGGUUGGUAUUUUCAUCCUUAUAUCAGAGACGAGAAAACUAAGGGUCAGAGAAAAUUAGCAAUUGGUCUAAAAUUGUACAGUUGUAACAGGAUCUAGAACAGGGACUUCAGUACAGGCCUCCCUGACCCCCAAGCCUGUGUUCUUUCUACUGUACUAGGCUUGGAAGACAGCGUACGUGAGAGCAAAGACAAGCUCUGUCCACUCUGUGCAUAUUCAGUGUAGGUGCUGGUGAGAUUCCCGCCUUCAGGUGUCCAGCAAGUGGUUGGAGACAUGGAGCCGAAUCUCAAGGACAUUGGGAGGAUUGAAGGUCAAGGCUUAAGAACCAUCUGCAUCCUCAUUUAUUUAUUCAGCAGCUAUUUGUUGUGUCUUCGUGGACCAGCUUGGCAGCAUGAAUGCUGUGACCAACAAGAGAGGUGUGUCCUUCACGGAGCUGCCAGGCUGGGAGGGAGCCCUGAUGGCGUGGCUUGAGUGUAAGGCAGGAGGUGUGCAGAUUGGCUGUGGGAACUUACUGGCCUAACCUUGUCAGGUCAGGGAAGCUCUCUAGAGGCAGUUGUGGUUCUCAACAUGAGACUCAAAUGAUGAGGACCCAGUUAAAAAGUGGGAAAACAGCAUACCCCAGGCCGUGGAAGUAGCGCGUACUCAGGCAGAGCAAGAUAAGAACACAGUGUCUUUAAACCAAAAACCACGUGUGGCUGGAAUGGAGGGAAGAGCAAGGAGAUAAGACAGGUGAGCAGGAACCAGAACAAGAAAUGCCCUGGAAGCUGUGAGACGCUUGGAAUUCACCUGUGAAGAAAAGAGUAGCCUCAUCUGAAUUCCUUGCCUCGAUUAUGGUCUCCAAUAGAAGAUUAAAUGGCUGUGGAGUCUAGAGGUUUUUUCCUUCGGUGUGGGCAUCACCCCUUCUGAAAGGAUGGUGUAAUGGCUAAUUGUAUGUAUCAGCUUGGCGAGGCCACAGUACCCAGAUACUUGGUCAAGCACCAGUCUAGAUGUCGCUGUGCAGGUAGUUUUUUAGAUGAGGUUUAACAUUUAUAUCAGUAGAAGGAGUGAAGCAGAUUAUCCUUUGUAAUGUAUGUAGGCCUCAUAUAUCAUCAGUUGAAGGCCUUAAGAGAAAAAGAUUGAAGUCCCUAAAGAAGAAGGAACUCUGUCUCCAGUCUCCCUUCAGACUCAAGACUGCAACAUCGGCCUGGCACGGUGGCUCACGCCUGUAAUCCCAGCACUUUGGGAGGCUGAGAUGGGUGGAUCGCUUGAGAUCAGGAGUUCAAGACCAGCCUGGCCAACAUGGCAAAAACCUGUCUCUAUUUAAAAACACAAAAAUUAGUUGGGCAUGGUGGCAGGCGCCUGUAGUCCCAGCUACUUGGGAGGCUGCGGCAUGAGAAUCACUUGAACCCAGGAGGCAGAGGUUGCAGUGAGCUGAGAUCAUGUAACUGCACUCUAGCCUGGGCGACAGAGUGAGACUCUGUCUCAAAAAAAAAAAAAAAAAGACUGCAACAUCAACUCUUCCCUUGGUCACCAGCAUGCCCUGAAGAUUGUGGAUUUGUCAGUCCCUGUAAUUGCAUGAGCCAGUUCCUUAAGGUAAAUAUCAGUAUCUACCCCCACCCCCACCACUCUCUCUCUCAAUCUCAAUCUCAGUCUCUCUCUCUCUCAAUCUCAAUCUCCCUCUCAAUCGCCCUCUCCCUCUUCCUCUUCCUCUCCCUCUCUCCCUCUUGGUUCUGUUUCUCUGGAGAACCCUGACUAAUGCAGAUAGGAAGAUAAAUAAAUUUAAGUUGUUUGGCUCCAGUUGGUAUUAGCAGAAAGCUGCAUCAGGCUUCUCUAGGUGUUCUUGGUGUGUGCGUAUAUUGCUUUUUGUAUAGAUGAGAAUAGUGAAAUAUAGAAGGGAAGUGAUGUACCCACAGUCAUGCAGACAGUUGAUGGGAGAGCCAAGGAGAAAACUCAAGUUUCAAACCUCUGGUGUAGUUCAGUCGCUUUCUUGCUAUUUGGCCCUCAUGUUUUUAUUAGCAAGGUAAUAAAGUUAUUGAGUUUGCCAUGCGUAAUUAUUGGUAAUGUUUAUGGAAUGUUCUCUGUAUGUCAGGUGCUGUUUUAGUUGCCCUACAGGUGUUAGUGAUUUUAAUCCUUACAACUACCUAAUGAGAUAGGGAAUAAUACUAUCCCAUUUUACAGAUUUUAAGCAAUGAGUCCAGUGAGCGAUGUGGUCAUUGCUACACAGCUAGUGAGUGACAGAGCUGGACUGAAGACUCAGGCAGCCUGGCUGCAGAGGUUGUGCUAUUGACUACUCCACCGCUUCUCAGCUUAAUGCCCCGAGCACAGCUUUUCAUCUCUCCCUUUGGAACCAUUGUCCAGAAUAUUUAUUAUGGUAGUGUGCUCUUGGUAGGGCUUGUAUUGAAAGAGAAAAUGCUUAUAAGUUAUUUUUCAAGAGACCAUCCGAUAAUGCUUCUUAGCUCCUUGAAAAACAGAAAACAUUCCCAUUACAGCAACACUGUAGACCACCUGCUGGAGUAUAUUUUUAGCAACUAGACUUUGCUGUCUAGCCUAGUGACACUGGUGGGCAUCUGAUUUGCCCAGGGUCAUACAGGAGCGUGAUAAAGUGGUGAUAUGAGUUGGCUCCUGGUUCAGCAUUUUGGGGUGUGUUCUGGGGGAGAAAAUAGCAAACCUCUUUGUGUGUGUCCCUUGGAUCUUUGAGAGAACAAUCAUCAUAACUCCCAUUUAUUAGGUCUGUUGGGUGCUAGAUGCUGUUGUAAGUGCUUUAUAAACAUUGUCUCAUGGAAUCUUCUCAAUAGCCCUGAAAGGCUGGCAUUACCAUCCCAUUUUACAUAUAAAGUAAGCAGUGAUUAGGGAGUGACAUUUCCAAAGCAAGUAGCAGAACCAAGGAUUAAACCUCAUCUGAAUGACUCCAAGCCAGUGCUCUUGGUCACUUGGCUAUGUCUAUACUGGGUGUCUGUACUGGACCUCUCUCUGUAUAUACUGGGUAUCUAUACUGGAGCUCACCAUUCUUCCCCAUAGACUAUGAACUCCAUAAGGGACUUUCUCCAUUGAUUCACCACCAUACUUCAGCACCUGCCAAGUACACUACCUGACACACAGUAGGUACUUAAUGCACAUACAGUCAUGUGUCAUUUAACAAUGGGGAUAGGCAGUUUUGUCAUCGUGUGAACAUCAUAGAGUGUAUAUACAUAAACCUACAUGGUAUAGCCUACUACAUCCCUAGGCGAUAUGAUAUGGCCCUAUUGCUCCUAGGCCACAAACCUGUGUGGCGUACAGUACGACUGUACUGAAUACAUUGUAACACAAUGGUAAGUGCUCAUAUAUCUAAACAUACCUAAACAUAGAAAAAGUAAAGCCCUGCAGUGUGUUACAGUGGCUACAGUGUCACUAGGCAAUAGGAAUUUUCAGCUCCAUGUAAUCUUGCGGGCCCACCAUCAUGGGUGCGGUGCACCAUUGACUGAAAUGUUAUGCUGCACAUGACUGUAUAUUGAGCGAAUAACAGACUCAUUGUGUUCUCUGUGAUCGCUUCCGAAUGGCGAGAGGGCCAGGGCCAAAGGGCACAGACCUGUGAGUGUGUUAUGGACUCAUGUGGGUUUAGCCUUCACGAUAUAUAUGAAUAUAUCAUAAUGUGUGUAUCUAGUGUGUGAAUAUAUAUCAUAACUUAUCCACUUUAUGGAUAUCAUAAUUUAUCCAUUUUAGUGAUUCCAGGACAUUUUGUCUAUCUAUGCUUUUUUUUUUUUUUUUUUUUUUUUGAAAUGGAGUCUCACUCUGUCACCCAGGCUGGAGUGCAAGUGGCACAAUCUUGGGUCACUGCAGCCUCUGCCUCCCCAGUUCAAGCGAUUCUCCUGCCUCAGCCUCCUGAGUAGCUAGGACUACAGGCACAUGCUACCACACCCGGCUAAUCUUCGUAUUUUUAGUAGAGAUGGGGUUUCACCAUGUUGCUGGUCUCAAACUCCUGACUUCAAGUGACCUGCCCGCCUCAACCUCCCAAAGUGCUGAGAUUACAGGCAUGAGCCACCGUGCCUGCCCUCUAGCUAUGCUUUAAGGCAGGCCUAUCAGCCCAGACUGGAGUCAUGUAAUACAUGGCUCUGUCAGUAGCUCUCCUUCCCACAAAUAAGUUUUGAUGAUCUUACACUCAUCCCUGCCAUUAGCAUUCAGGACCAAUCUUCUAUAGCCUAUACGCCACACUGGUCUAGGACAGCACCUAAAUAAUACUCAUGCUAUAAAAAAUUCAUCAAGUUAUAUAUUUUUAAAAACAUCCCUAAAAUUAUCUUUUUCCUUUACUGAAAAGAAUUUCAGGAUCCCCUCUCUCUCACUGCCUCUCUUCACACACACCUACCUUAGUUGGUCACCUAUUUUGUAAACAUAUCUUCUUUAAAAAAAGAAAGAAAUGGCAGUACAUGAAAAACUGCUUCGUAAACAGAAACUAUAUUAUUUAUAUUUGUAGCAUUUUUUUCCCCUUGAGGUUAAUUUCCUUUGCUUCCCAUAACUGGAAGCCAAUGAUUCAGUGCCAUUAUAUAAGCUUAUUUUCCCUCUUGGAAAUAGUAAAUUAUAAGAGGUUUGACCCAAAAAUAUACAUCAAAAUUAGGCAGUAUUCGGUGUUUAGCCUCCAUCUGCCUUGUCUUCUUGUCUUUAGUUGUGCAAGUAGAUGCUGAUGAUUUCUGGCAGAGCUAAAGUAAGUAAAUCAUGUGAAUUUAUUUUUUUUCCUCAUAAAACAGAUGGCAUGGUCUAGCUCUGGGCUUGUAUGUUUCAUGAAGUACAUGGGUCUGAGUGCGUAUUUAUUUUGUGAGCCAAGGUUUAUGCCUUCUUCUAUAAUUUUCUUUCACCGAAAAUUACCUGGAGAGCUAGAAACUCCAUUUGUGUCAGUGUAAGAAGCUUUAGAAUCUAUAUCCAGACCAAGGCCAUGGAACAAUGUAGAUUCACUCAGUAAAAACUCACUAGCGGCCUUCUUUGUACUAGUCUGUCACCUUUGCUUGGCUUUGGGAAGCUUCAAACUAGGGCAGUUUAUGUUUGGGAGUGACCAGUCAAAUAGCAAGACAGACAUAGGCAAGGAUGUAAUUUUUAAAAAUUUAAGUGGGGAAUGGUGAAGCAUGAAUCAAAACAGAAGGUAGUCUUACCUUCUUGGAACUGUAAAAUAAAUACAUUUGAAAAAGGCACCCUCUCAACCUUCUGCGAGUCAGAAUUUUUGCUGCCACCCCUCAUUUUGAAUCUCUAUUCUGCAUUUUUUAUUCUUUUUUUUAGGAAGGAGGAAGAAAAAUUUCUCCUGAAGAAUUCAUUGGAAAUUAAAAUUAACUUGCGUAUUUUGUAUUCUUUGGAAUGUGAUGAAGACUGAUUUGAAAGGGCAGUGCUGGAUUUGGUCAGGCAUAGGAAAGGAAGACAUGCAGUCGUCCUGCCUAGCUCAUCCCCGCCACGAUGGAGAAGUGGGGUUGCUUUCGUUGUACUUUUUUUCAUUUGUUUCUUGCCAAGCCCAGUGGCUUCUGUUAUAACAUGUGGCAGCUUCUCCCUUGGAGACUGAUUCAGUCCAAGUUACCAUAAUAUUUAGGACCAGCUACAGAGACGUUUCUUCCCCUAAACCCAUGCCAAAUCUAAAUCAAACUAUCUUCUUCUCCUUAGCCGUUCAAAUAGCUCCAGCUCUUAUAUAAAAAUACGAGAAAUACACAGGCCUCUUUUCGUUUUAUUCCUGUUCAAACAGAUAAACAAACAAGGCACAUCAUGCCUAGGUUGCUUUGAGCUUGAUCACUUCCUCCUAAAGCAGUCUUACGCUGUGUUGAUUUUAAGAAUUGCAACUUAGGUGUUCUAGAACAUAUUCUGAGAGCAUAGUCAUAGUCUGUGAUCUCAGAAUAUGUUUGCUUCCUUCUAGAACAUCUGAGUUCUAGAAAUUGCGUACAAUAAACUGCUGUCAGUGCUGCUGGAGGAAGGAAGAGUAACUCUGACAUCACUGGCCUUCAACAGGUGUGGCGCUGAGCUUCUGGGCCUCAGAAGCCCUGACUUCUAGAGGCUGGGGGCCAGCGGGGCAGGGAGGUGAUCUCAUCAUGGAUGGCCACAGAUCAUCCACCUGCCAAACAGUUAACCCUGAACAAGUCAUGUCAAUUUAUUUUGCUUUUAAAAAAGAAAGUCUGCAAAAUAGAAAAAAAAAAAAAAAGAUUCUUCAUAAAUACAUUUGUUCUGAUCUGUAAAUACCCUGGUCAUUUCCCCCUUGGCAUUUGAUACACAUAGUAUAGACAUAUUUUAGUCAUCCUUGCUCAAGUAAUUAUAUUCCAUAACCAACUUUAUUAGCAUAAAUUAACUUCCUCAUAUUUUUAGCAAGAGUUACUUUCCUUCAUUGCUUAGCUUAUUGUUUUGAAAUAU
rnacentral:lncRNA from 1 species